AGGACGAACGCUGGCGGCGUGCUUAACACAUGCAAGUCGAACGGUGAAGGGACCAGCUUGCUGGUUCUGGAUGAGUGGCGAACGGGUGAGUAACACGUGAGUAACCUGCCCCCCUCUUCUGGAUAACCGCAUGAAAGUGUGGCUAAUACGGGAUAUUCUGGGUCUGUCGCAUCGGACGGGCCCGGAAAGAUAUUGCGUUCGGUGGGGGAUGGGCUCGGCGGCCUAUCAGCUUGUGGUGGGUGAUGGCCUACCGAAGGCGGUG
rnacentral:rRNA from 1 species